GGUUGUGGCUCAGUGGCAGAGUGCUUGCCUGGCAUGUGUGUGGUCCUGGGUUCCGUCCCCAGCACCA
rnacentral:tRNA from 1 species